AAUCCAUUGUCCUGCUUCUCAGCAAUACUCAAAUAGAUAUCAAUUAAACAAAAGUCAUGAAGAGCAAGCAGCGCUGGAUGCAGAGGUUUAUCGAUC
rnacentral:sRNA from 1 species